rnacentral:misc_RNA from 1 species
AAAUUUCGAACUUGACUGCUAGCAGCCGCAGAAAGAAGACGACCUCCAAGAGAGAGGCAAAGCUCGAGUCACUUACCCACGAGAGGAGAGGUCGAUCCGUAUCAGUCAGGAUAGAUGGAGCUAUACUCACGACUCCACGCGCAGCAAUCCAGUCCAGCAGCAGGAAUCCGGCAGCUGGCAGGGCAGAGGAGCGGCCAGACGAGGUCGACGGCAACGAACCACCGGCAGCUCGCGCCGGCCGCGGAGAACGACAGGGAGCAAGAGCACGCGCGGGAUUCGUCCCGAUUACGGCGGAGUUCGGGAGAUCUAUGGUAGAGGAUGGUCCGAUGGAGGGGGGAGUACGGAAGAAUCUUGGGAGCAAGGACUGUUGGCUGGACAACACCUCAGUACAUCACAAAUUCACAGG